rnacentral:rRNA from 1 species
UCAGGACGAACGCUGGCGGCGUGCUUAACACAUGCAAGUCGAACGAUGAAGCCCUUCGGGGUGGAUUAGUGGCGAACGGGUGAGUAACACGUGGGCAAUCUGCCCUUCACUCUGGGACAAGCCCUGGAAACGGGGUCUAAUACCGGAUAACACUCCGUCCUGCAUGGGACGGGGUUGAAAGCUCCGGCGGUGAAGGAUGAGCCCGCGGCCUAUCAGCUUGUUGGUGGGGUGAUGGCCUACCAAGGCGACGACGGGUAGCCGGCCUGAGAGGGCGACCGGCCACACUGGGACUGAGACACGGCCCAGACUCCUACGGGAGGCAGCAGUGGGGAAUAUUGCACAAUGGGCGAAAGCCUGAUGCAGCGACGCCGCGUGAGGGAUGACGGCCUUCGGGUUGUAAACCUCUUUCAGCAGGGAAGAAGCGAAAGUGACGGUACCUGCAGAAGAAGCGCCGGCUAACUACGUGCCAGCAGCCGCGGUAAUACGUAGGGCGCAAGCGUUGUCCGGAAUUAUUGGGCGUAAAGAGCUCGUAGGCGGCUUGUCACGUCGGUUGUGAAAGCCCGGGGCUUAACCCCGGGUCUGCAGUCGAUACGGGCAGGCUAGAGUGUGGUAGGGGAGAUCGGAAUUCCUGGUGUAGCGGUGAAAUGCGCAGAUAUCAGGAGGAACACCGGUGGCGAAGGCGGAUCUCUGGGCCAUUACUGACGCUGAGGAGCGAAAGCGUGGGGAGCGAACAGGAUUAGAUACCCUGGUAGUCCACGCCGUAAACGUUGGGAACUAGGUGUUGGCGACAUUCCACGUCGUCGGUGCCGCAGCUAACGCA